rnacentral:lncRNA from 1 species
AAAAAAACAAAAAUUCUUCCUUAUGAUUAUUUUUAUGUAUUUAUUUAUUUAAUUUAUUUACUUAUUUUGAGACGGAGUCUUGCUCUAUCGCCCAGGAGUGUAGUGGUGCGAUGUCGGCUCACAGCAAGCUCUGCCUCCUGGGUUCACUCCAUUCUCCUGCCUCAGCCUCCUGAGUAGCUGGGACUACAGGCGCCUGCCACUAUGCCCG